rnacentral:tRNA from 1 species
GCCUAGUUGGCUUAGUUGAUAAAGCAUUGGACUCUUGAUUUCGUCUCCGGUCAUGAUCUCACAGGUUUGUGAGUUCAAACCCCACAUCAGGCU